UACGGGGGGGCAAGCGUUGUUCGGAAUUACUGGGCGUAAAGGGCUCGUAGGCGGCCAACUAAGUCGGAUGUGAAAUCCCCAGGCUUAACCUGGGAACUGCAUCCGAUACUGGAUGGCUUGAAUUCGGGAGAGGGAUGCAGAAUUCCAGGUGUAGCGGUGAAAUGCGUAGAUAUCUGGAGGAAUACCGGUGGCGAAGGCGGCAUCCUGGACCGACAUUGACGCUGAUGAGCGAAAGCUAGGGGAGCAAACGGG
rnacentral:rRNA from 1 species